AAAGUAGUGGAGGCACAAGGAGCUUCUUGCUUGCUUCCUUAGUAUCAGUUUAGGUGACAAGUCUGAAUAAUAACCAAACAAUUAAUUUUUUCCUUAGAAGAAUUAAACUUUAUUUCCCAGCCAGCCGAAACCAAUUCAGUUAGGCUAGAAAUAGUGAUUGUCAUUUUAACUAAAGUGAAGUUUAGGUUAUGUUUAGCUACAUAAAUAGUUUUAGUUAAUCACGACAAGCUAAAUUAUCCCAUCUGAUUUAGAUGUGAGAUUAAAAAUCAACUAUUUAAUUAGGCUAGAAAUAAUGCACAUCCCUAUCUGCCUUCCUCCAUAUGGCAUACUAUACUAGUACUAUUUUCCUUCUCCUUUUCUUCCUUUCAAGUCUACUUUUUCACCACAAGCACUCUUGAACCUAAAAUAUCUCGUUGCCAAACCCCUUUGAGUCUUCUCCAUCCUUUCUCCAAAAUCUGCUCAAAAUCAAACACCCAUUUUGUCAAAAUCUCAUAGUCCCAUUUCUAGAUAGUCAUUUUGCCAAAAAUCUGAAAAUUAUGAUAAUUUGGUUACACAUUCAUCAGAUUUUAAAGGAUAGGUAUUGUCUAGUGAUAAAGUUGUGAUGUGAAGUUGAGUGAAAGAUGAGAACCACCCAAUUUGUAAAUGUUGAUGAAGCUUUUGAUUGACAGAAUGACAGUAAGCCCGACUCAGAAUAUCUUAAACGGAGAUGGAAGCCACAUGGAUCUGAUCCUCCAAGGUCAGUCUUCAUUCCUCUAUCAUGUUAAUAGUUGUUUGUAAUUGUGAUCUAAUGGUUUUAUAUGCAUAAAAAUGAUGAUCUGGUUCUAAAGUUAUUUUGUAAUUAUAUGAUGUAUGUCUUUUGUUGAGCUGUCAGCUUCUCUGAACUACAUGAAUAGGACAGUCCUUCAGCAGUUAUGCUUAAAUAGAAAGGUAGAUAAUAUAUCUCCUUCUUGAAUCCUUUACUUUGCUCAAAAUCUGAGAAAGAGUAACAUUGAAGUCUUUUUCUUUGGGGAUAAGACAGCUUGACAUCUUGAUGAUAUUUCCAGUUUUUGUGUUUCCAUUUCUAAUAUAGUUAGGGAUCACUACCAAUUGUCACUUUUAUUUGCAACAACUCAUCUUACUUCUCUUUGAAAGAAGGAAAAAGUCACUAACAAAGAAAAGCAAACACUACCUUCCCUCCUUCCUUCUCUUCCACAGGACGAGGUUCUGUUUUGUGGAAAAAGGCCCGGUGUUCCAAAUGAAAACUCUCUUGAGGCAGAGAAAGUUAUAUGGUUGAGCAGGAUCUGAAGCUGAGAGAAAUAUGGAGGCCAUCUACUUGUCAGAAGCAGUGAGCAAGUGUAUUUAAUGUUGAAGGCAAAGAGGAGAAAAGCAGGAUUUCUGAUCUAGUAGUUGUCUGAGAGAAAUUCUUCCGAAAAUAAGCAAACUAUUUUGUUUAGCAAUAUUAGAAAAUGAUAGAGGAUUGUUAACUCAAUGGCUAACUGCAUCCUUGGACAUUCAAUGCUAGAGCAAGGUAAAGAUAUAUUGUCCUUAUUAUUGUGCCAGUGCAAAAACUGAUCUCAGGGUUCCUCCUUUAUUUAAUAGCGGGGAGAGAGGUAGAUCUGAAGUUGCUAGGGCUCUUUUCAAGUGGGCAAAAUUGAUUUAAUCAUGGGAAGCAGUGUUAUUGGACUGAUGAAAGAUGUGAAGGAAAAAGUGUAUAUGUUAUGUUAACCAAGUAAUGUCAUUCUAGUCAGGACAAAAUUUUCUUCAAUAGGCCUAUUUAAGCUGCUUCACUAUGUGGGAAGUUACAUGAAGUUGAGUUUGUGACCUAUGUCCAAAGAGGCUUUCAAAGAAAACUUAAAGAUUGAGUAUCCUACAAAUUAUUGACAGUUGCAUUUUUAUCUGCUGCAACUGUGUACAAUCCAAGUACCAAAUCGGAGAAUAUUCCAUUUCUGGAGGCUGGGUACAGGAGUUUUUAACUCCCAAGAAGCAGCAUAGCCAUGGUUGUUUGUAUCUAUCUAAGGUUGAGCCGAACAUGUUAGGGACAAGGGGUUCAGUUUCGGAUUUCCAAACACAUAUAUUUGCUACUGAAAGUAUUUGACGGGCAAGAUAUCGGGAUAUAUAAUCUCUUGUAAUAUUGAAAGACUCCAAUUCAAGUGCGCUAUAGAAGAAAACAUGGGAUAGUAUAUAUAUUCUCGAUCAUAGCUCUCAGGGUACUAAGUCAUAGAUGGAGAGUGAAGUGAAAUGUAAGUUCUUGAGAAUAAAUUCUAAUUAGUCUCGAUCAUAGCUCUCAGGGUACUAAGUCAUAGAUGGAGAGUGGAGAGUGAAGUGAAAUGUAAGUUCUUGAGAAUAAAUUCUAAUUAUCAUUUGAUGGGACAUCACUUGGGUGUUUUCUUUCCAAUAACUUGUAAGUUAUAACAUCUGCUAUUACUCUAAUUGGAAGAUAAUAAUGCAAAUGUGCUACCACUAUAAAUAAUUCUUUCUUUUAAAACUAGUAAAGGGAAAACCUUCUACUUUAAAUAGAUAGUUAGUAAUUGUUAUAGGUUUCGACUGUAAAAUUUGCACGUAUUUUUAACCAAGUCCAAUAGAUCUGGGGAGUUUGGGCUCUUUCUGUUUUAUUUUAAAUUGUCCGUUAGUUUUUAGGGAAUUUUUGGGCCAAAAGAAAUUAUGUGUCACGACCCGAGCCAAGGCCCUUGGUGUAACGGGCAUUCCAGACCAAUGAAGGUCCAGGAGGACCCCUUAGCGUAUUACCAUAAGCAUAUUCAUAGAUAAUUGCGGAAUAAAAGGACCCAAUAAGAGAAACUUAAUAGAAAUAGAAGUAUUCAACUUUAGUCCAACAAUAACAUUAGUCUACGAAGCCUUUAAUCGAUAAAGAAGAGAUCAUCUAUGCCGGGACAAGGCCCCGGCGAUACCAUAAAACAAAUACUAGAAUGUCUGACAUAAAGGCGCCUUUCGAAGGAUGGAGGGCUCACCAAAGCUGAAGCUGUAUGAGCGAACCUAGUGCUGCACAGUGCCACAAACAUGUGCCUCCAAAGCUAUAUCAUGCAAUGAUAUAUAUAGCUGUCUGGAAACGGUCAAUGCGUGGAAGAUAUAGGCACGCAGCACAAAUAAAUGGAUAAGAUAUGCUUUACGUAAAAAGUAAUCCUACAAGAAAAAACCAAUACUAUAUGAGAAAAUAUCAGUUGUGACUCCAAGUAAAAGAAAACAAGACUUUUUAUUCUUUAAUUCUGAACUAGAUGGUAUCACCGACAUCCGUUAAAACACCUCAGGGUAUGUGGGUUCGAUCAACGCUCGACUGGCUAAGCCCCAAUCCAUGUUUGCCGCAUGUAUUGAGAUUAAGUUAUUACAGCUAGCACAAUCACCCUCAUAGAGGAAAGCAUAAAGUUGUCCAAUUAAGGAUUGAACCAUCCCUAUGUCGGUAAAACACGGGUUUUGGGUAUUGAACCUUUUGGACUCAAACCUUCUUGGUUAACCAUCUACUUCUCUUAAAGCCCAGAUUUUAGCCUUUUCAAAUCAUCAACCGUCAUUUAAAACAAUAUCAAUGCCAUUAAGGGUAUAGACCAUCGUUGUUAUCGUCAUAUUUCAGGUUGUCCAAUUAAGGAUUGAACCAUCCCUAUGUCGGUAAAACACGGGUUUUGGGUAUUGAACCUUUUGGACUCAAACCUAACCAUCUACUUCUCUUAAAGCCCAGAUUUUAGCCUUUUCAAAUCAUCAACCGUCAUUUAAAACAAUAUCAAUGCCAUUAAGGGUAUAGACCAUCGUUGUUAUCGUCAUAUUUCAUUAUCUGUUUAACCAUAAUGUCGGUUGUCAAUUUAUCAUGCCCAACAUGUAUUAAAAACCACGUGUAAGAUGGUUCUUGGAAUUCAAUCAAAUCAAUUUAAGAGUCCAUUUAAUCAUUGGGAGUCAUAGUCAUUCUUUUGUAUAAUAGUGAACCUUUCCAUAUGAGUCUACCAUUGUUAAAUCGUUAAAACGUUGAUAAGAUGUCAAACCCAUCAAAUAAUAACGUCAUUUUGACUCACAGAAUGACCCAACAUUUUAAUAGUAGUUUAGGGAAACAAAGAUUUCACUUCCUCUUCUCAAAAUUUAAAUCGAUAUGUAUUUAAGAGCAACUUCAAGUACAAAGUAUUGAAACACUAUUUCGUAAAUUCACAUAAGCAUAUAAGGGUUUUAGAAAUCAUAAGUUCGAAAUUUACUUGAGAAGAGAUUGUUCUGCAUACCUUUUUGUUGAUGAACUCUAGAAGAAACCUUAGAAUUUGAUCUUGAGAUUAGCCUAUGAGCUUGAGUUGUUUUCUUGACUUAGAGAGGAUGACAGAAGGGUUUCAAUUGUGACUUAGGGUAAUUAGAAGUGUAGAGAAACGCUUAGAUUAGUUUGGGGACAGUUUUUUCUUUUUGAAACUGGUAACUUCUUAUAUAUUCAGAACAAGGUUGUGCACAACCAUAUUUACAAGCGUACUACCAAAAUCUAUGGUCCUAUAUCUAUAAUGAGUCUAAAACAUCAAUAAUAGAGACAGGAUCAUUUGACCAUAUCUGAUUACUCCAAAAACACAACAUCAAGAUACAAUUUAACUGAUUUGUUGCACACUAAUUUCUAUAUUUUCAAAACAUUUGGAAUUUCUUUCUUUCCAGAUUGACCACCAAAUCUAGCCGGAACUAUCCUCCAUCUGCUUCUACUCUUGGCCUGGUUCCCAGCUUGAUAGGGCUUCUGUAAUCUUCCAUGGCAUACACCACGAUACACCUCUAAGGUUCAAAAAGAAUUUCCAUAGCUGUCCAGUUAUCUUGCUAUGCAAGAACAAGUGGUCAACUGUUUCUUCUUUCUCACCCCGUAGGAAGCAUCUGGGGCAUAUGAUUAUUCCCCUUUUCAUGAGAUUUUCCUGGGUAAGAACUGCCUACCUUGCCAAGAGCCAUACAAAACAUGCCACUUUGUAUAGAAUUAUGUUGUUCCAAAUAUUCUUCCAUGGCCACCUGUUUAGCUGCAUGUUGGAGUUGUUCAACCUUCUGUAAGCUUUAGUCACCUUAAAAGAACCCUUUUCACUACCUAGCCACCGUAGUUCAUCACUUCCUUCCUUCAACCCACUAAAGUGUUCAAUUUGACUGAUGAAUUUUGCCAUUCCUUGCACUUCCCAAUCAUUGAGUCCUAAUCAUUAGUUGGGGGGCGGUUUUGGGUAAGGAAAAGACCAAAAGACCCUUAAAAAUGCGUAAGAAAUCAAAGGAGACGCCGCUGGAACAUCACCUCCAUGCCACGGUGAUAUCACGGAGGCUAGCCUCUGUGACACCUUGAAAUCGCGGAGGUCUAGCUUUGUGACACCUUGAAAUCGUGGACCUACACUAUUUCGCUCAUAACUUUUCACUCUGAACUCCAAUUUUUGAAUGGUCAGCGGCGUUGGAAAGAAGACUCAAAGACCUUAAUUUGAUAGGUAAUGGGCCACGUUAAUCUUUAUAUUCUAGGAGAAAUGCUCGUUUGAAGUUGAAAAAAAAAAAGGGCAGCCCGGUGCACUAAAGCUUGAACCACCACAAGGGUGUAUUGUACACAGCCUUACCUUGCAUUUCUGCUAGAGGUUGUUUCCAAGGCUUGAACCCGUGACCUUCUGGUCACAUGACAACAACUUUACCAGAUACUCCAAGGCUCCCCUUCUCUCGUUUGAAGUUGACCCUAGUAAAAUCCAAUACUAUAACUCAAUCGAUAGGAGUGCACUCAACUUGACUCUAUGUUAGGUGUUUCUUAUGAUCAAGAUUGGCAUUUAAUCUCUUAAAUGAAAGAGAUAGCUACAUCAGUUGCUUCAAAAACUAUUUGAUCUUCUGUAAAUUACGAAAAUAUUUGUCCACCCUGUGAUGGAACAGAGCUAGUGACAUAAAAAAAUACUCUUAAAUUUCUGAGAUGAUUCAAUUCCGAUACUCUUAAAUUUCUGAGAUCAUUUGAUUCCAAUCAAUCCCUUGUUAUUGCUAUCUCGUAAUGACCUAAAAAGCAUGUUGGGUUUUGCAACUGGUAUAAAUGAAGUGGGAAGAUAGUACUCUUUUAAUCUUGCAGGGUUUUCUCCUUAUUUUGAGAUGAAUUUAGAGACUCAUUCUUCAAUGUGUCAAGUUUGGCAAACUUUAAUUAAUUACUGAACCUCACUUUUUUUUCAAUAGUUUGAUGAGUCAUGAAGAUAAAUGUAUUUCAGUCUUUAAGAGCAGUAUUUGGACAUUUAAAAAGCAUUCAAAAUGUUGUUUGGUUAUAGAAUAUAUAAUUUUUUGAAAGAAAGAUGUUCAAGUUUGAAAAAUUAAUUUUUACUUCUUCAAGUGAAAAAUCUUUUUUCAAUCGUAUUUUUAACUUUUAAUUUAAAUAAAAUGCAUGUUCAAAUGCAAGUUCAUCUGCCAAAUUGAUAUUUAGGACCUUGAUGUGCAGUCAUUUCCAAGAAUCUGGGCAAAGACGACGAUGCUUUGUGCAUCGGACUAAGUUUCAUUCCAAGUCUGAAUUUGUGAUUUUCUAUAUGUGGAUUGCAUCUAUGUGAUUUGUUGUGGGGUGGGUGGGUGGGGGUGGAGUCCGACUUCCCAACGUUGUUAAAGCAAUCAGGGAAAAAUGGUUUCCUAUGAUUGUUUAAAUGUCUAAAUGAAUUCUUUAGCUUUGUGAAGGAUAUACAUUGUCAUGUUGAUUCAAGAUGGAAAAAAUUUCUCACAUACGAACAUUUCAUGUAUCAUACAUUCAUUCAUUAGUGCAAAUCUUGCUAAGCAUAGUAAUUUGCAUAAAUUAGCGUAUGGAAAAGUUUAUAGAUUGAAUUGGAUUUGUAUUUCAUUUGGCACGAAAAAGCCAAAGUGGAAAAGCUAUAUAGUUGGUCUUGUCAUGAAAACCGAAUCAAACCCAAUGAACACCACUAAAAUAAAAGAAAUUCAUAGCAAAAAUUUCUGUCAUAUUUACAACUUAAAUGUUAAUGCAAAUCACUCUAAAUCUUCAUUUGAUUUUGUGUCCAUACGUGCAAUUACUUCAACACAACAACAACAUACCCAGUGAAACCCCACUCUAGUGGGGUCUGGAGAGGGUUGAGUGUACGCAGACCUUACCUUUGCAUCGUGGAGGUAGAGAAGAUGUUUCCAGAGGACCUUCGGCUUGAGUACAACAAAUCAAAGUAAGUAUGAAAAGGGAAAACGACUGUGAAGAAAACAUAGCAACUAAUACAGUAAAAUUAACAACAAAAAAGUGCAAUAACUAAAACACCAUAAACAACAGAUGAUGAUUGAAAUCAAAAGUAAGACCCUACAAGAAUAAAUCUAAUACUACGACAGACACCACCUAGACUAAACCCAUUGGAAAGCAAAAUAACACUCCACAACCUACUAGCCGUCUACCCUUAUCCGCGACCUCCACACCCUUCUAUUAAGGUCAUGUCCUUGGUAAGCUGAAACUGUGUCAUGUCCUGUCACACCCUUCUAUCUAAGGUCAUGUCCUUGGUAAGCUGAAACUGUGUCAUGUCCAGUCUAAUCACCUCUCCAAGUGCUUGAAAUUAAAAGUUACCGACUUCCCUUUCUGUCAUAAUGCAUAUCAUUGUGAGACACUGAGUUAUGAUUAUCUUCUUCUGUACAAUCAGAUGUAUGACUACAUGAACUUUCACUUUUUGGUGAAAUGUUAUCUUGAAAUUGCUCAGCAUGAGGCAUAUCUUGCCUCAUUUUUCUUUGUUGGUCAAGUUCAGCUGCCACCUCCUUCAUGGAUGGCCUUUUUCUUGCAUUAAAUUUAAGCAAGCUUGGCCACGGCAAGAAUCAUAUGUUCAUCCUCAAUUCCUUUUACAAUUUCAGGGUCUACAAUCUCAAUUAUACGAUUUUCUUUCAACGAUGAUGUGAAACGAAUGACCAAACCUUGAUCUUCUUGUUUGUUUGAAGUGACAACUCUUUGACUUGUUAGAAGCUCUGCAAGGAUUACACCGAAGGCAUAGACAUCACAUUUGUCUGUAAGUUGACCUGAUCGGAAGUAUUCUAGAUCUAUGUAACCAAAUGUCCCCCCUACCAAUGUUGUUAAAUGAGUCUUGUCAACAGACAAUAAUCUCGAUAGUCCAAAAUCAGAAACUACUGCUCUGAAAUUAUCGUCUAGUAAUAUGUUGCUUGACUUUAUAUCUCUGAGAAAAAUGGGAGUAGAAGCACAUGAGUGCAUGUAAGAAAGUGCCCCUGCUAUUUCUGCAGCUAUUCGCAGGCGAUGAUCCCACAAUAAUAUUAUUGCUGGGCGCGAAAGAAUCUGAACAUCCAACUCAGACUUUGAGACAGUCGGAUUAGAACUGUGACCGAGGUUUUCAUGAAUAUGGAAUGACAAGGUUCCAUUCGAGAUGUACUCAUAAACUAAUAAUGGGACUUGAGUUUCUAAGCAACAACCGAGUGCCUGUUGGAAAUAGUAAACUUAAAUGUAAAAGUGUGAUUAAAUGCUAGGUUCACUUGUAUUUGAGUUAUCUUAAAUUGCUCAUUAAUUAUGGUUGAUGUAAAUAAGAGCAAGAGUUGAUGUAGCAGCUCUGUGUAUGUAAGUCUAGCGUGUUAUUUUGGAAGAGUACUGGAGCUUUUCUAAUGUUAUGAGCGCGCUUUACAUUUACCUCUCUUUUCCAUCCUCUUUAGUUAUUAUAAUGUUCUCUACCUUUGAAUUGUGUUGUUCUCUUCUUCUAUUUAUAAUAAUAUAGAAGCAAGAGCCUACUGCAAAAAUCAACAAUACCUUGACAAUAUGUCUGUGAUUUAUUUGGGAGAUAAUGAGUAUAUCAACUGUUCAAUUUGAUCUUCAUCCACUGCAUUGGACUUCUUCACAGCUACAAUGCUUCCAUCUGAUAACAUUCCUUUAUAGACAGUCCCAAGCCCACCUUUACCAAGAAUUUGAAUUUCACUGAAAUUGUCUGUUGCUUUCUCCAACUCCUCUUUCAAAAAGAGGUUUGACAAAGAGCCACCACUGCUUUCUCCAUUUAACGAAAUACGUUGUUGCAAAAGCAGUCCGCCAUUUCUCUUGAAAAACAGGUAGUUGCUGCUGCAAUACUUGUUUGGGAGAAAACCAAUUUCAUAUACAAACAUAAAUCCAUUUUUAGAAUCUAAGAAAAAGGGCUGUAAAUGCAAAGAACACCUUAUGUUGGUGAUCCUCCUAUUUUCCCUACUUUUCCAGGCCCCUUUGUAAUUUUAAACCGUAUGCUAAGUUUAGCUUCUAAUUUUGUAAAGAGCAGUUCGCUAGAAUAAAUGUCAUAAUGUUUUUAGUUAGGUGAUGAUGACAUAAAAGGAUCAUGAAUCUAUUUGACAGUUCUCAGGAGUAAUCUGUCUCAAAUAAAAAGUCAUUGAAAGUAUAAUUUACUUUAACAAAGAAACAAGAGGGGAAUAAGAGAGACCGAGAAGAGAGUUGUACAAUACCCAAGGAGAUUUGUAUAGCUAGCAUGUGUUUCACAUUAUUUGGCUCACAAAGGAAACUGCCUGGAGUAUUAACACGGGUAUUGUUUGGACAAGGCUUCCCUUUUGGACUUGCACAUUUGUUCAUGUUUGUGGAAAUUAAAAAAACAAUUAUUCAUCAAAACUGCGAUAACUAACCUAGAAAACAAGACAUAUUACAUGCUAAAACAAGUUAAAAUACAUUGGUAGUGUGAGAUAUUGCUAUAUUGUUACUCCCUCUGUUUUAUUUUAUAUGUUUCGUAGUUUGACUUUGCACGAACUUAAAAAUAUAAAGAAUACUUUUGGAUUUUGUGGUAUUAAACAAAAAGUGUGUAUAACAUACGAAAAGUACCCGUUGAAUCUUGUAGUCUUAAACAUUCCAUGUCAUUCGUAUAAGGAGGUGUUAUUACGUUGUACAUAUGAGAAACAUCAUAAGUAAAAACUUAUUAAAUAUCGACGCAUGAAGCUCUUCUUUAAGCAGACUAAAGCCGAAAUAAGAAACAUAUGUUAAAAUGGAGGUAGUUGUAUACAUAAGUUAAUCCCAUAAACCAAAAAGGGAAACGGAUGGGGGAAUUAGUACCUUGGCAUCCAUGAGGGAGGUAAGGGUUGCCUUGAUAACUAGGAGAGAAAUUGCAUCGGUAUCCCCCAGCAGGUCUAGUAGUAUCAUCGAGACACCUGCUGUUCUUCCCACAUGCAUAUUUUGGUCUUCUCACGGCUUUGUUGCAAUUAACAUUGCCAAUUACCCGGUCCACAACCAUCUUUCCUUCAUAAUAAUCAUCUUCUUUGCACUUACAAAGUAACUGGGUGAAGUCAAACUCAGAACUGCCCUUCUGCACAAUUAAUAAAUAGGUUCAAUUGCGAGAUGCCCAUGAUGUUUUCUCCAUGUUCAUUGUUUGUAUGUACACACUGAUCUGUCUUGGUAUUUUUGAAAAUGCAGACUGACAACAACCGUUAUUCCCAGUGCAAUAAGAUUAUGAAGCUGAAGAAGAUGAAAUAUUAUUGGUGACGUUGCUACAGAAAGAAGCACAUCCACUUAGAAUAGUGUCUCCACUACUAGUGUAUAAAU
rnacentral:lncRNA from 1 species